rnacentral:rRNA from 1 species
GAUGAACGCUGGCGGCGUGCCUAAUACAUGCAAGUCGAGCGAACAGACGAGGAGCUUGCUCCUCUGACGUUAGCGGCGGACGGGUGAGUAACACGUGGAUAACCUACCUAUAAGACUGGGAUAACUUCGGGAAACCGGUGCUAAUACCGGAUAAUAUAUUGAACCGCAUGGUUCAAUAGUGAAAGACGGUUUUGCUGUCACUUAUAGAUGGAUCCGCGCCGCAUUAGCUAGUUGGUAAGGUAACGGCUUACCAAGGCAACGAUGCGUAGCCGACCUGAGAGGGUGAUCGGCCACACUGGAACUGAGACACGGUCCAGACUCCUACGGGAGGCAGCAGUAGGGAAUCUUCCGCAAUGGGCGAAAGCCUGACGGAGCAACGCCGCGUGAGUGAUGAAGGUCUUCGGAUCGUAAAACUCUGUUAUUAGGGAAGAACAAAUGUGUAAGUAACUAUGCACGUCUUGACGGUACCUAAUCAGAAAGCCACGGCUAACUGCGUG